AUGCUUACCUGGCAGAGGAGAGACCAUGAUCAUGAAGAUGGCUUUCCCGGGGCAAGGCACCCCCAUUGUACUCCAGACGAGCUGACCACAUGAUUUCCCCAAAUACGGGAAACUUGACUCUAGAAACAGACAAAGAAACAAAACAGUCCUUUGU
rnacentral:snRNA from 1 species